AAGGAACUGGCUAGGCCCAGGAUGCGCAGGGGUACGAUGAAACCUGACACCCGGCAGUCCUUGGUCCAGCAGGGCCAGGUGGGGGCAACCAAUGGCGGCGGCAGGGUGUGUGUGUGUGCUUGAUGUAUGGCCAUAUGAGGAAAGAAGGAAUGCUGACAUAAUACUUGUUUGCCCGGAAAUUAUAAAAACCCUGGGAACAAAGAAAGGGGGUCUUGGUCUCCCAGCACUGUGUUGCACAGGAGGCCAAGGCCCCAGCAUGCUGACCUACAAGUACAGUCCCUUUGUUCUUCGCAUUUUGACCCAAAGCAUGAGCCUGGUGUGCAGCAAGGUGUUGAGGACACAAAGGAAAACAGUAGAAUUUUCAUAA
rnacentral:lncRNA from 1 species